GACGAACCGUCCAAACGUUAUUCGGAAUCACUGGGCGUAAAGAGCUCGUAGGUGGUUUGUCGCGUUGUUCGUGAAAUCUCACGGCUUAACUGUGAGCGUGCGGGCGAUACGGGCAGACUAGAGUACUGCAGGGGAGACUGGAAUUCCUGGUGUAGCGGUGGAAUGCGCAGAUAUCAGGAGGAACACCGGUGGCGAAGGCGGGUCUCUGGGCAGUAACUGACGCUGAGGAGCGAAAGCGUGGGGAGCGAACAGG
rnacentral:rRNA from 1 species